UGGUACACCUAGAGAGACUCGAACUCACACUGAGCAGAUUCUAAGUCUGCUGCCUCUUCCAAUUGGGCUAUAGGUGC
rnacentral:tRNA from 1 species